GGUAAAGUGGCUGAGAUCCAGGCAAUAAAUUGUAAAUUUAUCGACGAAAUUAAAUAUUUCUUUUACCA
rnacentral:tRNA from 1 species